rnacentral:rRNA from 1 species
UAUCUAAUCCUGUUCGCUCCCCACGCUUUCGUCCCUCAGCGUCAAUAUAUUAUUAGUGAUCUGCCUUCGCAAUUGGUAUUCUAAGUAAUAUCUAUGCAUUUCACCGCUACACUACUUAUUCUAACCACUUCAUAAUAAUUCAAGACUACCAGUUUCAAAGGCAAUUUUACAGUUGAGCUGCAAACUUUCACCUCUGACUUAAUAGCCCGCCUACGGACCCUUUAAACCCAAUGAUUCCGGAUAACGCUUGGACCCUCCGUAUUACCGCGGCUGCUGGCACGGAGUUAGCCGGUCCUUAUUCUUGUAGUACCGUCAAGCUCUCACACGUGAGAGUGUUUCUUCCUACAUAAAAGCAGUUUACAACCCAUAGGGCCGUCAUCCUGCACGCGGCAUGGCUGGAUCAGAGUUGCCUCCAUUGUCCAAUAUUCCUCACUGCUGCCUCCCGUAGGAGUCUGGUCCGUGUCUCAGUACCAGUGUGGGGGAUCCCCCUCUCAGGGCCCCUACCUAUCGAAGUCUUAGUGAGCCGUUACCUCACCAACAAACUAAUAGGACGCAUAGUCAUCUUGUACCGUAACCUUUAAAGUAUAAAUGAUGCCAUAAAUACUUACUAUAGGGUGUUAAUCUUCGUUUCCAAAGGCUAUCCCCUAGUACAAGGUAGAUUCUAUACGCGUUACGCACCCGUGCGCCGGUCGUCAGCAAGUAGCAAGCUACCUCUGUUACCCCUCGACUUGCAUGUGUUAAGCCUGCCGCUAGCGUUCAUCCUGAGCCAGGAUCAAACUCU